rnacentral:rRNA from 1 species
AGAGUUUGAUCCUGGCUCAGGACGAACGCUGGCGGCGCGCUUAACACAUGCAAGUCGUACGAGUUCAGGGCUUCGGCCUGGGCUAGUGGCGAACGGGUGCGUAACACGUGAGCACCUGCCUGGUCGUGGGGGAUAACCAGUGGAAACGCUGGCUAAUACCGCAUGAGCUCGCCUGGCCGAUUGGCCGGGUGAGGAAAGCUCCUUCACGGGAGUGCGACCAGAGGGGCUCGCGGCGUAUCAGCUAGUUGGUGAGGUAACGGCUCACCAAGGCGACGACGCGUAGCCGAUCUGAGAGGAUGAUCGGCCACAUUGGGACUGAGAUACGGCCCAGACUCCUACGGGAGGCAGCAGUGGGGAAUCUUGCGCAAUGGGCGAAAGCCUGACGCAGCGACGCCGCGUGCGGGAAGAAGCUUUUCGGAGUGUAAACCGCUGUCAGGGGGGAAGAACGGCCGGAGGAGGAAAUGCCUUCGGAUUGACGGUACCCCCAGAGGAAGCACCGGCUAACUCUGUGCCAGCAGCCGCGGUAAUACAGAGGGUGCGAGCGUUGUUCGGAAUUACUGGGCGUAAAGCGCGCGUAGGUGGUGUGUUAAGUCCACUCGUGAAAUGCUGGGGCUCAACCCCAAGCGCUGCGGGGGAUACUGGCACGCUGGAGACACGUAGAGGCAAGCGGAAUUCCGGGUGUAGCGGUGGAAUGCGUAGAGAUCCGGAAGAACACCGGAGGCGAAGGCGGCUUGCUGGGCGUGAUCUGACGCUGAGGCGCGAAAGCGUGGGGAGCAAACAGGAUUAGAUACCCUGGUAGUCCACGCCGUAAACGAUGGGCACUAGACGCUGGGGGGAUCGACCCCUUCGGUGUCGAAGCUAACGCGAUAAGUGCCCCGCCUGGGGAGUACGGCCGCAAGGCUGAAACUCAAAGGAAUUGACGG